ensembl:lncRNA
GUUCUCUGGACAAUCUCCCUGGGCCACAUUUCUGGGAGAAAACUCUUCCCCCACCCCCUUGUAAGGUUUCAUUCUUGAAGGAAAGCAGCAACACAACUUCAUCAGUGAAUUUCCCCAUUGGAAUUGGUUCAUCCUUUAAUGCCUCUGGGAAAUCCCGAGCUGGGGAAUGUCCUGCUCUCUGCUGAGAGACAGCAGGAAAGUUGGACAACUAGGUGCCCAUGACCAACUCCUCAUUGUGGAUGGAUUUAGUCUGGUUGGACUUUCUCAGGAAAGGCAGCUGAACUCAUGACUAGUACCAGUUCCACGGUUACCCUGGAAGUUGCAAAUCAAGACAUCCUCUCUCACUGCCUGUCCACCUUUCUUACCAACCCAUUGUCCUCCAUGGUGCAGAGAGCCUCUUACCACUUCCAAGGAAGAACUUCAGGAAGAGUUUUACC